GUUGGGUAACACUAACUGGAGGACCGAACCGACUAAUGUUGAAAAAUUAGCGGAUGACUUGUGGCUGGGGGUGAAAGGCCAAUCAAACCGGGAGAUAGCUGGUUCUCCCCGAAAGCUAUUUAGGUAGCGCCUCGUGAAUUCAUCUCCGGGGGUAGAGCACUGUUUCGGCAAGGGGGUCAUCCCGACUUACCAACCCGAUGCAAACUGCGAAUACCGGAGAAUGUUAUCACGGGAGACACACGGCGGGUGCUAACGUCCGUCGUGAAGAGGGAAACAACCCAGACCGCCAGCUAAGGUCCCAAAGUCAUGGUUAAGUGGGAAACGAUGUGGGAAGGCCCAGACAGCCAGGAUGUUGGCUUAGAAGCAGCCAUCAUUUAAAGAAAGCGUAAUAGCUCACUGGUCGAGUCGGCCUGCGCGGAAGAUGUAACGGGGCUAAACCAUGCACCGAAGCUGCGGCAGCGACGCUGAUGCGUUGUUGGGUAGGGGAGCGUUCUGUAAGCCUGU
rnacentral:rRNA from 1 species